rnacentral:rRNA from 1 species
GAUGAACGCUGGCGGCGUGCCUAAUACAUGCAAGUCGAGCGAACAGAUGAGGAGCUUGCUCCUCUGACGUUAGCGGCGGACGGGUGAGUAACACGUGGAUAACCUAACUAUACGACUGGGAUAACUUCGGGAAACCGGAGCUAAUACCGGAUAAUAUAUUGAAUCGCAUGGUUCAAUAGUGAAAGACGGUUUUUCUUUCACUUAUAGAUUACUCCGCGCCGCAUGAGCUAGUUGGUAAGGUAACGGCUUACCAAGGCAAGGAGGCUUACCCGACCUGAGGGGGACAUCGGACACACGGGAACUGAGGAAGAGUCGAGACACCUACGGUAGGACGCAGUAGGGACUCUUCCGGGAGGCGCGAGAGCCUGACGGUGCACCACCGGCGGAGUGAUGAUGGAGCUCGGACCGGAAAGCGCUGUAAGUAGGGAGGAACAAAUGUGUAAGUAACUAUGCACAUCUUGACGGUACCUAGUCAGAAAGCCACGGCUAACUACGUG